rnacentral:lncRNA from 1 species
CCAACCUUUGGCCCAGCGCUGGGGGCAACUAUAUAAGCUCUCCUAGUCAGGAGAGCCAGGUAUUCUAAACCAUUCUACACUUUCUUUCUCUCUCUUCUCUUUGUAUCUCUGUUAGUAGUUGAGGUAGUAGUGAUAGUUUAGAAAUAGUUUGAUAUUGUUGAAGACUUUGGUUGAUAGUUGAAGGAUAGUAACAAGUAGUGUGAAAGCUAAUAUAGAAGUAUUCAGUAACAUGGAACAAGAGCUAAUACAUUAGUAGUAGGAGGAGAGUAGUGGUAGAAUGGUGAAGCCUUAUUGUUAUUGUCAUUGCAUC